rnacentral:rRNA from 1 species
AAUGAACGCUGGCGGCGGGCCUAACACAUGCAAGUCGAACGAGGCAGCAAUGCCUAGUGGCGGACGGGUGAGUAACGCGUGGGAACGUGCCCCUUGGUACGGAAUAGCCCUGGGAAACUGGGAGUAAUACCGUAUGUGGUCGAGAGACGAAAGAUUUAUCGCCAAGGGAUCGGCCCGCGUUGGAUUAGGUAGUUGGUGGGGUAAUGGCCUACCAAGCCGACGAUCCAUAGCUGGUUUGAGAGGAUGAUCAGCCACACUGGGACUGAGACACGGCCCAGACUCCUACGGGAGGCAGCAGUGGGGAAUCUUAGACAAUGGGGGAAACCCUGAUCUAGCCAUGCCGCGUGAUCGAUGAAGGCCUUAGGGUUGUAAAGAUCUUUCAGAUGGGAAGAUAAUGACGGUACCACCAGAAGAAGCCCCGGCUAACUCCGUGCCAGCCGCCGCAGUAA